rnacentral:rRNA from 1 species
UGGGGAAUAUUGCGCAAUGGGGGGAACCCUGACGCAGCCAUGCCGCGUGAAUGAAGAAGGCCUUCGGGUUGUAAAGUUCUUUCGGUAUUGAGGAAGGUUGAUGUGUUAAUAGCACAUCAAAUUGACGUUAAAUACAGAAGAAGCACCGGCUAACUCCGUGCCAGCAGCCGCGGUAAUACGGAGGGUGCGAGCGUUAAUCGGAAUAACUGGGCGUAAAGGGCACGCAGGCGGUUAUUUAAGUGAGGUGUGAAAGCCCUGGGCUUAACCUAGGAAUUGCAUUUCAGACUGGGUAACUAGAGUACUCUAGGGAGGGGUAGAAUUCCACGUGUAGCGGUGAAAUGCGUAGAGAUGUGGAGGAAUACCGAAGGCGAAGGCAGCCCCUUGGGAAUGUACUGACGCUCAUGUGCGAAAGCGUGGGGAGCAAACAGGAUUAGAUACCCUGGUAGUCCACGCUGUAAACGCUGUCGAUUUGGGGAUUGGGCUUAGAGCUUGGUGCCCGUAGCUAACGUGAUAAAUCGACCGCCUGGGGAGUACGGCCGCAAGGUUA